GCUCAACCGGGGAGGGUCAUUGGAAACUGGGGAACUUGAGUGCAGAAGAGGAGAGUGGAAUUCCACGUGUAGCGGUGAAAUGCGUAGAGAUGUGGAGGAACACCAGUGGCGAAGGCGACUCUCUGGUCUGUAACUGACGCUGAGGCGCGAAAGCGUGGGGAGCGAACAGGAUUAGAUACCCUGGUAGUCCACGCCGUAAACGAUGAGUGCUAAGUGUUAGAGGGUUUCCGCCCUUUAGUGCUGCAGCAAACGCAUUAAGCACUCCGCCUGGGGAGUACGGUCGCAAGACUGAAACUCAAAGGAAUUGACGGGGGCCCGCACAAGCGGUGGAGCAUGUGGUUUAAUUCGAAGCAACGCGAAGAACCUUACCAGGUCUUGACAUCCUCUGACAACCCUAGAGAUAGGGCUUCCCCUUCGGGGGCAGAGUGACAGGUGGUGCAUGGUUGUCGUCAGCUCGUGUCGUGAGAUGUUGGGUCAAGUCCCGCAACGAGCGCAACCCUUGAUCUUAGUUGCCAGCAUUCAGUUGGGCACUCUAAGGUGACUGCCGGUGACAAACCGGAGGAAGGUGGGGAUGACGUCAAAUCAUCAUGCCCCUUAUGACCUGCGCUACACACGUGCUACAAUGGGCAGAACAAAG
rnacentral:rRNA from 1 species